rnacentral:rRNA from 1 species
UGCGACCUACGGGGGGCAGCAGUGGGGAAUCUUCCGCAAUGGGCGCAAGCCUGACGGAGCAAUGCCGCGUGAACGAAGAAGGUCUUCGGAUUGUAAAGUUCUGUCCUUAUCGAAGAGAGGGUAUAGAGUGAAAAAUGAUAUACUAGGACGGUAGAUGAGGAGGAAGCCCCGGCUGACUACGUGCCAGCAGCCGCGGUAAUACGUAGGUGGCAAGCGUUGUCCGGAUUUACUGGGUGUAAAGGGCGUGUAGCAGGGCUGACAAGUCAGAUGUGAAAUCCGGGGGCUCAACCCCCGAACUGCAUUUG